rnacentral:misc_RNA from 1 species
GAACGCACAUUGCGCCCUGUGGUAUUCCGCAGGGCAUGCCUGUUCGAGCGUCAUUUAACCCCCUCAAGCUCUGCUUGGUGUUGGGCGUUUGUCCAGCCUUUUUGGCGUGGACUCGCCUUAAAAACAUUGGCAGCCGUCACCCUGGCUUCGAGCGCAGCACAUUUGCGCCUGAUCUCUAUGUGGCGGCUCCCCAGAAGCCUAUUUCUUUUGAUUGACCUCGGAUCAGGUAGGGAUACCCGCUGAACUUAAG